rnacentral:rRNA from 1 species
GAUGAACGCUAGCGGGAGGCUUAACACAUGCAAGUCGAGCGGGAUUAGCAGCAAUGCUAUGAGAGCGGCGCACGGGUGCGUAACGCGUAUGCAACCUGCCUUAUACAGGGGAAUAGCCCAUGGAAACGUGGAUUAACGUCCCAUAAGAUUACAGUCUCGCAUGAGACAGCGAUUAAAACUGAGGUGGUAUAAGAUGGGCAUGCGUCUGAUUAGGUAGUUGGUAGGGUAAUGGCCUACCAAGCCGACGAUCAGUAGGGGUUCUGAGAGGAUUACCCCCCACACUGGUACUGAGACACGGACCAGACUCCUACGGGAGGCAGCAGUGAGGAAUAUUGGUCAAUGGCCGGAAGGCUGAACCAGCCAUCCCGCGUGCAGGAUGACGGCCCUAUGGGUUGUAAACUGCUUUUGUACCUGAAGAAACCUGGUUACGUGUAACCAGUUGCCGGUAAGGUAUGAAUAAGCAUCGGCUAACUCCGUGCCAGCCGCCGCGGUAACAC